rnacentral:tRNA from 1 species
GCCGGAGUGGUCGGAACAGGCAGACACGCACGGCCUAAACCCGUGUGCCUUCGGGCGUGAGGGUUCGACUCCCUUCUCCGGCACCU